CGGAGAGUUUGAUCCUGGCUCAGAUUGAACGCUGGCGGCAUGCCUUACACAUGCAAGUCGAACGGUAACGCGGGGCAACCUGGCGACGAGUGGCGAACGGGUGAGUAACGCAUCGGAACGUGCCCAGUAGUGGGGGAUAGCCCGGCGAAAGCCGGAUUAAUACCGCAUACGACCUCAGGGUGAAAGCGGGGGAUCGCAAGACCUCGCGCUAUUGGAGCGGCCGAUGUCAGAUUAGGUAGUUGGUGGGGUAAAAGCCUACCAAGCCUGCGAUCUGUAGCUGGUCUGAGAGGGCGACCAGCCACACUGGGACUGAGACACGGCCCAGACUCCUACGGGAGGCAGCAGUGGGGAAUUUUGGACAAUGGGCGAAAGCCUGAUCCAGCCAUGCCGCGUGCGGGAAGAAGGCCUUCGGGUUGUAAACCGCUUUUGUCGGGGAAGAAACGUCGCGACCUAAUACGUCGCGGUAAUGACGGUACCUGAAGAAUAAGCACCGGCUAACUACGUGCCAGCAGCCGCGGUAA
rnacentral:rRNA from 1 species